GACGAACGCUGGCGGCGUGCUUAACACAUGCAAGUCGAACGGAUUGGCGAACGGGUGAGUAAAACGUGGGUGACCUGCCCUGCACUUCGGGAUAAGACUGGGAAACUGAGUCUAAUACCGGAUAGUGUGGGAUGGGCCCGCGGCCUAUGCGCUGGUUGGUGGGGUAAUGGCCUACCCAGGCGGGGACGGGUAGCCGGCCUGAGAGGGUGGACGGCCACAUGGGGACGUAGACAGGGCCCAGACUCCUACGUGAGGCAGCAGUGGGGAAUAUGGCACAAUGGGCGGAAGCCUGAUGCAGGGACGCCGCGUGGGGGAUGAGGGCCUUCGGUUUGUAAAGUACUUUCAGCGGUGAGGAGGUUAAUACCUUUCAAUUGACGGUACCCGCAGAGGAAGCACCGGCUAACUACGUGCCAGCAGCCGCGGUAAUUC
rnacentral:rRNA from 1 species